UCUAGCCCCUUAGGAGGGGCAAUGUUCCUCCAGGGAGAAGAAAAUUCCUGAUCAGCCUGCAGACUGGAAAGAUUUCUCCCAUUUCCCUGCACUGGACAGUCAGCACACAGGGACAGGAGUUCUUAGGAACAAAUGGUUUCCCUGUGAGAGGCCCAAAGUGUCCAAAAACAAAGCAAAACCCACAUUCCUUCAGAACAUGGUUGGCCAAAGUCUUGAAUAUCCCUGCCUGACAUAUGGAGAGAAAAUUGCUCCUCCCACUGCUGUACCCAUUCUCUAAAAGGUCUUCCCCAAAGAAGAUCUUCUUGGUAACAAUUAUGCAAAGGUGAGGUUAAGUGACCUCAUGGAAGAGAAACCUCAAACCGACAACAAUCUUGCCCCUUUAAGCCCCCCAAAUGCCCCUUGGAUGAGGAGUGAUCCCAUGAGUGUUGAAGGAAGCUUUGCCAUUACAGGACAAUCAAGGUCACUCCGAAGUUAAAUGAAGACAACAACAACAGCAGCUGCAGCCUUUGUUGAGGUCCAGAUUGCGAGCACGGCUGAGCGGGCCCCAGCCCUGCACUUCAUUACGUGUAAGCACCAUUAAUAACCAACAAUAGGUUCUCGAAUCAGCAGAUAAGUGUUUU